rnacentral:rRNA from 1 species
GACGAACGCUGGCGGCGUGCUUAACACAUGCAAGUCGAACGGAAAGGCCCUUCGGGGUACUCGAGUGGCGAACGGGUGAGUAACACGUGGGUGAUCUGCCUCGUACUCUGGGAUAAGCCUGGGAAACUGGGUCUAAUACUGGAUAGGACCUUCUCUCGCAUGGGGGUUGGUGGAAAGUUUUUCGGUACGAGAUGGGCCCGCGGCCUAUCAGCUUGUUGGUGGGGUAAUGGCCUACCAAGGCGACGACGGGUAGCCGGCCUGAGAGGGCGACCGGCCACACUGGGACUGAGACACGGCCCAGACUCCUACGGGAGGCAGCAGUGGGGAAUAUUGCACAAUGGGCGCAAGCCUGAUGCAGCGACGCCGCGUGAGGGAUGACGGCCCUCGGGUUGUAAACCUCUUUCACCAGGGGCGAAUUUAGACGGUACCUGGAGAAGAAGCACCGGCCAACUACGUGCCAGCAGCCGCCGUAA